rnacentral:rRNA from 1 species
UAUUGGGAAAGAUUUAUCGGCGAAAGAUCGGCCCGCGUUAGAUUAGCUAGUUGGCGGUGUAAUGGACCACCAAGGCUACGAUCUAURGCUGGUCUGAGAGGAUGAUCAGCCACASUGGGACUGAGACACGGCCCASACUCCUACGGGAGGCAGCAGUGGGGAAUCUUGGACAAUGGGCGCAAGCCUGAUCCAGCCAUGCCGCGUGAGUGAAGAAGGYCUUAGGGUUGUAAAACUCUUUCGCCGGUGAAGAUAAUGACGGUAACCGGAGAAGAAGCCCCGGCUAACUUCGUGCCAGCAGCCGCGGUAAUACGRAGGGGGCUAGCGUUGUUCGGAAUUACUGGGCGUAAAGCGCACGUAGGCGGGUUUGUAAGUAGGGGGUGAAAUCCCAGGGCUCAACCCUGGAACUGCCUUCUAAACUGCAAGYCUGGAGGUCAGGAGAGGCGAGUGGAAUACCGAGUGUAGAGGUGAAAUACGUAGAUAUUCGGUGGAACACCAGUGGCGAAGGCGACUCGCUGGACUGAUACUGACGCUGAGGUGCGAAAGCGUGGRGAGCAAACAGGAUUAGAUACYCUGGUAGUCCACGCCUUAAACGAUGAGAGCUAKUUGUCAGUAAGCAUGCUUAUUGG